UGGCUCAGUUGGUAGAGCGUGGUGUUUGCAAUGCCAGGGUUGUGGGUUUGAUUCCCAC
rfam:Salmo salar isolate Sally breed double haploid chromosome ssa06, whole genome shotgun sequence.